GACGAACGCUGGCGGCGUGCCUAAUACAUGCAAGUCGUGCGGACCUUGUUGAAAGCUUGCUUUUAAAAGGUUCGCGGCGGACGGGUGAGUAACACGUGGGCAACCUGCCUGUAAGACUGGGAUAACGCCGGGAAACCGGGGCUAAUACCAGAUCGUUUUUUCCUCCGCAUGGAGGAAAAAGGAAAGGCGGCUUCGGCUGCCACUUACAGAUGGGCCCGCGGCGCAUUAGCUAGUUGGCGGGGUAAUGGCCCACCAAGGCAACGAUGCGUAGCCGACCUGGGAGGGUGGUCGGCCACAGUGGGACUGAGACAAGGCCCAAACUCCUACGGGAGGCAGCAGUAGGGAAUCUUCCGCAAUGGACGAAAGUCUGACGGAGCAAAGCCGCGUGAGUGAAGAAGGCCUUCGGGUCGUAAAACUCUGUUGCCGGGGAAGAACAAGUGCCGUUCGAACAGGGCGGCGCCUUGACGGUACCCGGCCAGAAAGCCACGGCUAACUACGUG
rnacentral:rRNA from 1 species